AGACAGCAGUGCUGCUCAGAUCUGCAUGCUGGUUCCUGAGAUAAAAGUCUCAUUCCCAAGAGUGGCAGCGUACGUGAGAGCGUUGCAAAUGUAGUCCUCGUAGGUGGGAGUAAUUUGAUGUCUGAGCUGGAGACGAAUGAUGAAGCUGGGAUUUUUAUUAUAACACCUGAUGUGUUACAAACAGGAGAAAAAGCUUGUGAGGGUGGAGGUGAGAGCUGUGCUUCUGCCGUGGAAGAAGUCAGGGGUACAGGGUACCCAGCACCUCACACCCUGACUCAGAAGCUGGCUGUCAGGUCAUGGAUCAAGUCACAAUUAAUGAUGGCCCUGGUGAUUUAUGAAUUGCAAUUUUUACUCCUGCUAGUUCCUGGAGAGUUGGGAACCAUCAGAUUCCAGCCUGAGCAGCUGUAGCCUGAGCAUCAGUUAGCACCGACGAGCAACGUGUGCGUGGAUGUGGAAACCAGCCCAUCUCUGGGCAGGGGAGUUAAUUGAAUACCAGUGCAAGAGAGACUGGAAAUGCUUUCUGUGAGUUGCACAUGAAGUUAUUAGUUUCCCAAGGGUGGAAGGCAGACUAUCACUGAGUGAUCAGAAAUCCAACUAACAGAUUUUACUGCAGAGCUUAGAAGGCUGCUUAGAGAGACGCAAAGAAAGGCACAAGGAAUAUGUGUCUGGCACUUGCAACUCUUCUGAAGUGAGCCUGAAAAAAGAGGGACAAAACCAAAGUGAUGAAGAGAACAGCAAUUCUGGGUCUGAGCAAGAGUUUACAGGAUUCACAGGGACAGAAGAGGAGAGCCCUGUUCUAGAUUAUGCUGUCUUUGGAAAGCCCCAACCAAGACCUUCAUUCAAGUUUUGUCUCUUUAUCCCAAAUUGAUUGACUCUGACGUUCCCUGGGAAGGAGUUUGCAUCACUGUGAAUGCUGACUGGACACAUUGCUACUUUGGAUUAUGCAAAAAUGAACGGAUUUUCUCAUUUCUGUUGCCCUCUGCGUUGAUGUUAAGUCAGGGUUAGGAGGACUUCUUCCUGAAAUUCAGAGGACGUAUGACCCUGAUGUUGGUUGAGUGUAUGUGAUGACUGAACCAUUCAGCUCCCAGACAGACUUCAGUUGUUUGGGGCUCUGCAGCUCUCACAAUUUAUCUGCUAACAACAAAAAUAUGCUUAUUAUUUGGAAUGUUUACAUCAUCCAUGCAGCUGGCCCAGAGCCAACGUCAGCUCCCCUACAAAACUGACAUUUAUUUCUAGUUAAGAAUUCUCAUAUUCUUCGUCCUGACCAGAGUUUGCAUCAGUGGAGCUGCAGCAUGGCAAAGCCACUGGAAAGGAGUAACAUUUGCAGUAACAAAGCCACUCAGGAGACGUGUCCCUCAGUCCAUGGGGGGACCAGGUCUGAAAUGAUGUUAUCUGCUGAUCACUCACG
rnacentral:lncRNA from 1 species